CGCGUAGGCGGGUUUGUAAGUCAGAGGUGAAAUCCUACAGCUUAACUGUAGAACUGCCUUUGAUACUGCAGAUCUUGAGUUUGGAAGAGAGAGACGGAAUUCCAGGUGUAGUGGUGAAAUACGUAGAUAUCUGGAAGAACACCAGUGGCGAAGGCGGUCUCUUGGUCCAUAACUGACGCUGAGGCGCGAAAGCGUGGGGAGCAAACAGGAUUAGAUACCCUGGUAGUCC
rnacentral:rRNA from 1 species